AGGUAAAACAACCCACGUCCCCACGUCCCCGUAUCCCACCUCCCACUCCCUUCCCCCAAAUCUCUCGGUCUCAAUUCCAUGUCUCUCCAGAGAGGAAUCUCAGCGGCCGACCUCCUCCCGCCUACAGCGACCUCGACCGGCAGCGCACUGCAGCCAAGCUAGAUUGGAGUGGUGGAUCCGCGCCCUUGACAUCUCACGGAGUCCAUGAGGACAGCAACGCGGGGAGGGAGCGACGACGGCAACGACGAGCGACGGCGACGCGAGGAGGGCGGCGCGUCGACGGCAACGACAACCGACGGUCGAGGUAACGCUAGCUCCACCACAUCGGCCCCCAUUGUUGGUCUCCAGUAGUCUCCGUCGCCCCCCGCACCGCGAGCCUCGCGCCAGCGGGCUACGUGCUCCUCGCGUUCAUAUAUGCUCUGGGCAUAGUAAGAGGGGAGCUGGAGGGGUUUGCUGCGUAGCCGGUUGCCGCAUGAUGCUAAGCUUCGCCGCUAUUUGCCGCGUGAUUUAAUUUGUCUGUUUUUAGUUGGGAAUAGGAACAGGUGUGGCAGAACGACAUCGACCUCCUCAAGCCGUCGGCGGGUCCAGAGAAGCUCAACUCAUUCCUCAUGGUACGUGCGCAUCAGACCACAUAGGAUGUGGGUGAAACAUGCCUUUUCGUUCAAUUGAUUUUUCUCACAGCCCCAGAUUAUGUGUUGUCUUUGUGUUCCUUCUCUGCAUGAUGUCAACUUGUCAAGUGCCACGGCUGCUUCAACAUGUAAGAGCAUGGUCUUUUCUCUGCUUUAGUCACGUGUUCCUAAAUUAUUGCUUGUCAGACUUAACUACAGAGCAAUAUCAUAUUUCCUUUUGGGGUAUAUGUCUGUCCUAAAACAUUCGACGCCUCAAAUUACGAAACAAGAAUAGGUAUUAUUAAUUUGUUAUAUGCAAAAUGGUGGCAUUACUCAAAUAUCUUUGUCCUAUAAAUGACAUGUGAUCAACAUUAUUCCUGCAAACUGAGAAUCAGCUCAUCUGGUCCUCUAUGUAUGUGAUUAUGUUGAUAGAUAAUGUUACAAAGUUAGUUCAGAUUAUCCUGAAGCAUGUCGCUCUCUAUCAGAAGUUAAGCAUGGUCAUCCUUCGUGAACUGGUAGUAUGGUUGAUUUGAUUACUCUGUUAGUCUACUGUGAUGCUAUGUUCGUUUGCUCCAUCACUGUCUUUUGCAUACCAUGUCCUAACUAUAAGUGCACACAAGAUUACAUACAAGUAGAUGAAAAGGUAAGAUGUCAAACAUUGAUCAGUCUCCAUGUUGCAGCAAGGGUUCAUUUGAUACUCUAUGUGGUGAUGGAAAUGCUUCUUUCUUUUGUUCAAUCCUUUUCUUUCCCCAUUAAAUUUGCAUGAACUAAUAAUCUAACUGAACCUUUGACAAAAAAAAGUCCCGAGUUUAAUGUCUUCCUUUUUAAGUUUUUAGGUGCGUUGUUAAACCUUGUCGAGGGAGGCGGUGGCGACUGGUGGUGCGAAGCCGAUCCUCCACAAGGGCUUCUCCAUGCUGCUACGCUCUCCCGUCGGUCUCUUCUUGCCUUCGCUCAGGCAGGCGCCGACGGGGCUGACACGCCGUUGAUCAGCGACGGACAGCGUGGCGACGCAGGUGUGUGAGGAGUCUCCGUCCGCUACAGGCUACAGCCUCAGGGGACGAAGCAAACACAUAUUGGGAGUCUUCAUGUGUGCAGAAUUACUUCUGCGGUGAGUCGGAGUGUGAUGUCUUCUCACGGGCUACUGUCAUCAAUCAAGGUGGUCAUCGGCGAUAUCAAGCUUGACGAGUACUUCCUGAAGGCUGAUGUCUGCUCCCGUCGCGUCGCUGACCGAGGCCCCAUCUCCAUGGGAAGCUGCUAUUUUUUUGUUAGAUUGGCAGUGAGAUGCUUGGAUAGGAGAAAAGAAACCAGAAGUGCAUGAGAGAUAGAUGUUGAGAACCUAAAUAAUGCACACACAUUUACAUAUUUCAUGUGAUGGUAGUACGUCGUCGUAGUUUUCGUGUUGGUUGUCCUACUAAAUGUUACUAUCAGUCCUAACUCAUCACAUCACUCUCAAUUUUCAGUCAUGCUUGGAGCUUUUAUCUGUAAUUCUACAAAAUCAGAAAGCAUUUCUAAGCCUCAAGGUAAUGUUGAAACUUA